CAACUGCUCACUCCGAUCCAUAUUAAUUGUCGAAAUAUUACGUGUAUCUAGACGCUUUUUAGACAUAGAUACAUCCAUAUUUAGAUAAAUUUGAGACAAUUAAUAUGGAUCGGAGGGAGUACUGU
rnacentral:pre_miRNA from 1 species